AUUAAAAGAAGGUAGUACUGGCUCUGAAUGAAAGAAACGGUGAUACUCACCAGGUGGAUGUCUGAGUUGGAACAUGUUUUCAUCCCUUGUGACUGAACAGCUUACAUUAUGAGGUGUCACAGAAACUGAAGUGCAUUCAGGUCGAGGACAUUUCCAUGAUCCUACAAUGCACAAACGAGCGAGCCAGGAAACAAAUGAAUGUUUUCCAGGGAAAUCUGUUUCUACUGCAGAGCCUCUGGAACUUUGAAGAGAGAAUGUACCAAUUGGAAUGUUUCCAGUUUACUGCCUGUCAGCUUCAGAUCCACCCUUCUGUUCAUGCUCUGUGAUGCUAGAUGAAAUUCCUGUGAAGACUUCUCCUUUAAUGUUGCUGCUAAUGUGCAUUCUGGUAGCAGCAGGUGAUGAUUCAAGUUCUUGAGUUCCUGUUACCCAUGUGGAGAUGAAUUGAGUUCUGGGCUGCUGAUUUUUCUUGACACAACUCUGGAUCUGCAAGCAUUUGGGAAGUGAACCAGUAGAUGGAAGAUGUUUUUAUGUUUGUCCUUGUCUCU